rnacentral:rRNA from 1 species
CCUACGGGAGGCAGCAGUAGGGAAUCUUCCGCAAUGGACGAAAGUCUGACGGAGCAACGCCGCGUGAGCGAAGAAGGUCUUCGGAUCGUAAAGCUCUGUUGUUAGGGAAGAACAAGUACCGGAGUAACUGACGGCACCUUGACGGUACCUAACCAGAAAGCCACGGCUAACUACGUGCCAGCAGCCGCGGUAAU